rnacentral:rRNA from 1 species
AUGCCUCAACCUCUAAUCAUAUUUCACCUGCAGGGCAAUGACAUCCAAAGCCACCAUGUUUCAUCUGUCCACCCAACGCAGCAUACUAUGCUCCAAAUAAACAAAUACUAUAAAAGUAAUCUUCCGAAUGACCUACAGAACACAGUAGGGUUUCAAUCUAAUAAUGAAUUGCUUAUUGCACCUGCACCUGGAGACACCCGGGGCAUCGAUGAGAAGCUCAUCUGGCCAGUAUGCCCUCAGUGUGCAGUUUUCACCGGAAUAGAAUUGCUAGCUACCCUCCGGAAUGAUCAAUCCAGCAGCCUGCUUCCUCCUAUACCUUUGCUCCUCAGGGGAACCAAUCUACAUUCUUGUCGCCGUUGUACACAUCCCACUGUCUUUGCCGAGUGCCUGCAAGCCGAUGCACGCUGCCGCCUCCGGCCAUCUGGUGUCAAAGACCAGCACGAAUAUGGAUAUUGGCUAGCUCGCAUCCCACAUCAAUCUCCAACUCCGAGCACGCCAAGCACAACUGCAGACUGCACUCAAUGUGCCUCCUUCUUCACUGUAGCUUCUGACAUGAAUUGCAUUGAUCGUGCCAUAGAAGUUGAGGGGAUUGAACUCCCUCAUCCUCAACCAAUCUGGAUUGCAUCGUCGGGAGCUGGGCACCUGAGUUUGAGAAAACCUGGUGGACAGAUCUGUGAUGCCAUCACCUUGGCCUUGGCCACCCGCUGCUUCUACUUGUGCAAAGCGAUUUGUGACUUGCCGAGUCCCCAACGGCCAACAGAAUCAUGGAAGCAAUUCUUCAUGUUGGCAAAGCUGAUCUCAGUGGCCUCAGAUUGCAAAGUGGUCAUUGAUGAUAUUGGACAUAGGAGUGCAGCGGUUUAUGGAGCUAUCAUUAGGGAGAUUGUAGAUCGUUCCAAGAAUUUUGUUAAUUGCUUUUUUAGCCAUGAAUUUAGGAGCUCGAAUGUCAAUGCUCACAAUCUAGCGAAGCAUGCUCUCUCACUUGAUGUUGGCCGCCGUGUGUGGUUAGGCAAGCCAGUGUUAGUUUCGGUGUUCAUAGAUUGCAGAGUACAACGAAAGCCGGGGCGCGACAGGAGGUCCGUGGAUGCCGGGGCGGCGGCCCCGGAAUGGUGGCAGCAGCGGAACGACUGUUGCAGUCGCGUGGAGCUCAUUAUGACAGAAGGUGUUGUUGUGGGAUUCGUGCUGUGGAGACUGGCGGCAAGUGGUGGAGGUGCUCUCCAGCGGUCUGGGCGCCCCCGGGUGCUCUAUUUCCGCAUAUCUUGUCUGAGUGAUGAGGAGGUGUGCGUCAGGGGGAAUAACAUUCAACGUUAUCUCGAUGGAGCCCUUCUUAGAAUCAUAACAGGUCGGGAGCUGCAUGUUCGACUACUGGAGCAUGCCGAGCUGCCCGUCUCAUGGAUGCAGGGCCGGCCCUGGGCCAGGGCAGCAGGGGCUACGGCCUGGGGCCCAGCCAAAUUAGGGGCCCCGACCCAGUGCUGCAGUGGAGGCCCAUCUCCAACUGAAGCCCAACUGCCAAGAGGCCUGAAGGCAGGCACGCACGCACAUGGGCACAAGGCCAGCGACUGUCCGUCUCCCCGCACCGAGAUCAGAGAGCGAGAAGCAGCCGCCGCCGGAGCCGGAGCUGGUCCUGCUCGAGACUCGACGCCGAUGGCCGGGUUCGCCUCCUCGCGGCCGGCCUCCCUCGCGCUCUGCGGCUUCCUCAUCUUCCUCAACGUCUUCGCCUUCCUCCUCGCCGUCCGCGCCGAGCAGCGACGCAGCACCGUACGCCCCUCCUCCUCCUCCUCCCCCCUCGGGCACGUGGUGCCGGACGAGUACGACGAGCGCUCCUACUGCCUCUACGACACCGACGCUGUUCCUCCUCAGUCUACACGCCGGUUCGUUUUUCUCGCCUGUUCCUCUCCCGCAGAUCGGCCGAUCAAGCGACUACGAGUCUGCGACAGCGGCUGCCGCUGCCGGCAGAUGCUAGCGCAUAGGGCACCUUCACGAGGAACAACAGGUGACAAAGCUGAACAAGGAUCUUCUCUUUUUGAUAUCUAUGACCCUAGAAACUGGGACACUGUUGACAACAAAUCAAGAUAUAUUCUAAUUGAAAAAGGGCCUACAAGGGAAUAA